rnacentral:rRNA from 1 species
GGGUUGUGAGGUUAAGCGAAUAAGCGUACACGGUGGAUGCCUAGGCAGUCAGAGGCGAUGAAGGACGUGCUAAUCUGCGAUAAGCGCCGGUAAGGUGAUAUGAACCGUUAUAACCGGCGA